rnacentral:rRNA from 1 species
AAUCAACGCUGGCGGCGUGCCUCAGACAUGCAAGUCGAACGCGAAAGUUCCCUUCGGGGGCGAGUAGAGUGGCGCACGGGUGAGUAACACGUAGGUAAUCUACCUUUGGGUGGGGAAUAACAGCCGGAAACGGCUGCUAAUACCGCAUAAUGCAGCGGCUCGACAUCGAGACAGUUGUUAAAGCGGGGAUCGCAAGACCUCGCGCCUAAAGAGGAGCCUGCGGCGGAUUAGCUUGUUGGUGAGGUAAUGGCUCACCAAGGCAUCGAUCCGUAGCCGGCCUGAGAGGGCGGUCGGCCACACUGACACUGACAUACGGGUCAGACUCCUACGGGAGGCAGCAGUCGGGAAUUUUGGGCAAUGGGCGCAAGCCUGACCCAGCAACGCCGCGUGAAGGAUGAAAUCCCUCCGGGAUGUAAACUUCGCAAGAACAGGAAGAAUAAGU